rnacentral:rRNA from 1 species
CCCUAGUAACUGCGAGUGAAGCGGGAAAAGCUCAAAUUUAAAAUCUGGCAGUCUUUGGCUGUCCGAGUUGUAAUCUAGAGAAGUGUUACCCGCGCUGGACCGUGUACAAGUCUCCUGGAAUGGAGCGUCAUAGAGGGUGAGAAUCCCGUCUUUGACAUGGACUACCAGUGCUUUUGUGGUGCGCUCUCAAAGAGUCGAGUUGUUUGGGAAUGCAGCUCAAAAUGGGUGGUAAAUUCCAUCUAAAGCUAAAUAUUGGCGAGAGACCGAUAGCGAACAAGUACCGUGAGGGAAAGAUGAAAAGAACUUUGGAAAGAGAGUUAAACAGUACGUGAAAUUGCUGAAAGGGAAACGCUUGAAGUCAGUCGCGUCGACCAGGAAUCAACCUUGCUCUUUUGCUGGGCGUACUUCCUGUUUGACGGGUCAGCAUCAAUUUUGACCGAUGGAUAAAGGUCAAGGGAAUGUGGCAUCUUCGGAUGUGUUAUAGCCCUUGGUUGUAUACAUCGGUUGGGAUUGAGGAACUCAGCACGCCGCAAGGCCGGGUUUUUAACCACGUUCGUGCUUAGGAUGCUGGCAUAAUGGCUUUAAUCGACCCGUCUUGAAACACGGACCAAGGAGUCUAACAUGCSUGCGAGUGUUUGGGUGGAAAACCCGAGCGCGUAAUGAAAGUGAAAGUUGAGAUCCCUGUCGUGGGGAGCAUCGACGCCCGGACCAGACCUUCUGUGACGGCUCCGCGGUAGAGCAUGUAUGUUGGGACCCGAAAGAUGGUGAACUAUGCCUGAAUAGGGUGAAGCCAGAGGAAACUCUGGUGGAGGCUCGUAGCGAUUCUGACGUGCAAAUCGAUCGUCAAAUUUGGGUAUAGGGGCGAAAGACUAAUCGAACCAUCUAGUAGCUGGUUCCUGCC